CCUACGGGCGGCUGCAGUGGGGAAUAUUGCACAAUGGGCGCAAGCCUGAUGCAGCCAUGCCGCGUGUGUGAAGAAGGCCUUCGGGUUGUAAAGCACUUUCAGCGGGGAGGAAGGCGGUGAGGUUAAUAACCUCAUCGAUUGACGUUACCCGCAGAAGAAGCACCGGCUAACUCCGUGCCAGCAGCCGCGGUAAUACGGAGGGUGCAAGCGUUAAUCGGAAUUACUGGGCGUAAAGCGCACGCAGGCGGUCUGUCGAGUCGGAUGUGAAAUCCCCGGGCUCAACCUGGGAACUGCAUUCGAAACUGGCAGGCUAGAGUCUUGUAGAGGGGGGUAGAAUUCCAGGUGUAGCGGUGAAAUGCGUAGAGAUCUGGAGGAAUACCGGUGGCGAAGGCGGCCCCCUGGACAAAGACUGACGCUCAGGUGCGAAAGCGGGGGGAGCAAACAGGAUUAGAUACCCCAGUAGUC
rnacentral:rRNA from 1 species